GCCUGGGUGGCUCAGUCAGUUAAGCGUCUGACUUCAGGUCAGGUCAUGAUCUCACAGUUGGUGGGUUCGAGCCCCAUGUCAGGCU
rnacentral:tRNA from 1 species